rnacentral:rRNA from 1 species
GACGAACGCUGGCGGCGUGCUUAACACAUGCAAGUCGAACGAUGAAGCUGGAGCUUGCUCCGGUGGAUUAGUGGCGAACGGGUGAGUAACACGUGAGCAAUCUGCCCUUGACUCUGGGAUAACUGCGGGAAACUGUAGCUAAUACCGGAUACGACACCUUGGGGCAUCCCAGGGUGUGGAAAGAAUUUCGGUCAAGGAUGAGCUCGCGGCCUAUCAGCUAGUUGGUGAGGUAAUGGCUCACCAAGGCGACGACGGGUAGCCGGCCUGAGAGGGCGACCGGCCACACUGGGACUGAGACACGGCCCAGACUCCUACGGGAGGCAGCAGUGGGGAAUAUUGGGCAAUGGAGGAAACUCUGACCCAGCGACGCCGCGUGCGGGAUGAAGGCC